AUUGCUGUGAUGCUCUCCUAACAUUUCAGCCGAGCUCAUUGGAAGUGCUCUUCAAUGAGAAGUUUUUGUUAUGCUUGGAUUCUGAGCUUG